rnacentral:rRNA from 1 species
AGCACAGAGAGCUUGCUCUCGGGUGACGAGCGGCGGACGGGUGAGUAAUGUCUGGGAAACUGCCUGAUGGAGGGGGAUAACUACUGGAAACGGUAGCUAAUACCGCAUAACGUCGCAAGACCAAAGUGGGGGACCUUCGGGCCUCAUGCCAUCAGAUGUGCCCAGAUGGGAUUAGCUGGUAGGUGGGGUAACGGCUCACCUAGGCGACGAUCCCUAGCUGGUCUGAGAGGAUGACCAGCCACACUGGAACUGAGACACGGUCCAGACUCCUACGGGAGGCAGCAGUGGGGAAUAUUGCACAAUGGGCGCAAGCCUGAUGCAGCCAUGCCGCGUGUGUGAAGAAGGCCUUCGGGUUGUAAAGCACUUUCAGCGGGGAGGAAGGCGGUGAGGUUAAUAACCUCAUCGAUUGA